rnacentral:misc_RNA from 1 species
GUCUCUUUUCUCUCCACCUUCGAAACCCCAUUUCCUUUCUUAUCGUUGUAGGUGGAAGGAGGGGAGCGAAGCGUCGUCAUCUCGCUGGGAAUUUUAUGGUGUUUUUCUAUAAUCAUCGAUAACGCAGCGGUCGAAUAGAGCUUUCCCUCCUACACCCAACAGCGAGCAGGAAUUAUACUCAGUCGUUCUCCCUUCUCUGGAUGUGGUGGGAUAGUUUCAUUACAGAUAACCAAUCAAUUACAUAGAAAAUUGAACAAUGGAGCAUAAAGAGACAGGAUGCCAAGCUCCUCCAGAAGCUCCCAAACUUUGUGCAAACAACUGUGGGUUUUUCGGAAGUGCUGCAACUAUGAACAUGUGUUCAAAAUGCCACAAAGACUUCAUCAUGAAGCAAGAACAGGCCAAGCUUGCAGCAUCCUCGUUCGGGAACAUCGUGAAUUGUGGACCAAAUGACCAUGGCAAGAAGGCUGUCAUCACUUCUCCAACUAAGCUAGAAAUCGAACCAGCUGAAUCAUCCGUCAUUCCAACUCAAGCAUCUUGUACUUCUUCAAAUGCAAGCAGCACCAUGGAGAAGGUGAAAGAAAGCCCAAAGAGGUGCAGCAGCUGCAGGAAACGUGUUGGUCUAACAGGGUUCAACUGCCGAUGUGGAAGCCUCUUCUGUGCAGUCCAUCGCUACUCUGACAAACACAACUGCCCUUUUGAUUACCAGGCCGUUGGUCGGGAGGCAAUCGCUAAAGCCAACCCUGUGGUGAAGGCUGAAAAGCUGGACAAGAUAUGACCAGAACUGCGGCCAAAAGUCAAGAUCAGGUGCAGCACCACCUAUGUUUUCUUCUAUGUUGAAUGAAAUCUAUUAUGUUUUCUUGGUUUGAUGUUUUUGGUGAAAAGGGGUUGUGUGCAAAGGUUUGCGAGACAUGUCUGUUACUUGGAAGAGCAUAAUCUUGUGGGAUAAUCCGCUGGAGAUAUGGCGUCGAGUGUGAUUGUAGGGUUUUGUUUGUAACCAGUCAGUGUAUGGAUGGAUUAUGCUAUGGUUAAAUUUCUGCUGGUUGAUUUUGCCUCUUGGUGGGUUGAGCUUAAAUUAUGGUAAAAAUGGAG